CCUACGGGGCGCAGCAGUGGGGAAUAUUGCGCAAUGGGCGAAAGCCUGACGCAGCGACGCCGCGUGAGGGAUGAAGGUCUUCGGAUCGUAAACCUCUGUCAGCAGGGAAGAACGGUCACUGUGCUAAUCAGCAGUGCAUUGACGGUACCUGCAAAGGAAGCACCGGCUAACUCCGUGCCAGCAGCCGCGGUAAUACGGAGGGUGCGAGCGUUAAGCGGAAUUACUGGGCGGAAAGCGCUCGUAGGCGGUAUGUCAAGUCAAGGGUGAAAUCCCCGCGCUCAACGUGGGAACGGCCUUUGAAACUGGCAAACUGGAGUGUGUGAGAGGAUAGUGGAAUUCCAGGUGUAGGAGUGAAAUCCGUAGAUAUCUGGAGGAACAUCAGUGGCGAAGGCGACUAUCUGGCACAUAACUGACGCUGAGGAGCGAAAGCGUGGGUAGCAAACAGGAUUAGAUACCCCUGUAGUC
rnacentral:rRNA from 1 species